UACAGAGGGUGCGAGCGUUGUCCGGAAUCACUGGGCGUAAAGGGCGCGUAGGCGGCCUGAUAAGUAGGGGGUGAAAUCUUGCGGCUCAACCGCAAGACUGCCUUCUAAACUGUCAGGCUGGAGCACGGUAGAGGCAGAUGGAAUUCCCGGUGUAGCGGUGGAAUGCGUAGAGAUCGGGAAGAACACCAGUGGCGAAGGCGGUCUGCUGGGCCGUUGCUGACGCUGAGGCGCGACAGCGUGGGGAGCAAACAGG
rnacentral:rRNA from 1 species